CCGCAUGGUCAGUAGCUGGAAAGAAUUUCGGUCAGGGAUGAGCUCGCGGCCUAUCAGCUUGUUGGUGAGGUAAUGGCUCACCAAGGCGUCGACGGGUAGCCGGCCUGAGAGGGUGACCGGCCACACUGGGACUGAGACACGGCCCAGACUCCUACGGGAGGCAGCAGUGGGGAAUAUUGCACAAUGGGCGCAAGCCUGAUGCAGCAACGCCGCGUGAGGGAUGACGGCCUUCGGGUUGUAAACCUCUUUUAGCAGGGAAGAAGCGAAAGUGACGGUACCUGCAGAAAAAGCGCCGGCUAACUACGUGCCAGCAGCCGCGGUAAUACGUAGGGCGCAAGCGUUAUCCGGAAUUAUUGGGCGUAAAGAGCUCGUAGGCGGUCUGUCGCGUCUGCUGUGAAAACCCGAGGCUCAACCUCGGGCCUGCAGUGGGUACGGGCAGACUAGAGUGCGGUAGGGGAGAUUGGAAUUCCUGGUGUAGCGGUGGAAUGCGCAGAUAUCAGGAGGAACACCGAUGGCGAAGGCAGAUCUCUGGGCCGUAACUGACGCUGAGGAGCGAAAGGGUGGGGAGCAAACAGGCUUAGAUACCCUGGUAGUCCACCCCGUAAACGUUGGGAACUAGUUGUGGGGGUCCAUUCCACGGAUUCCGUGACGCAGCUAACGCAUUAAGUUCCCCGCCUGGGG
rnacentral:rRNA from 1 species